rnacentral:rRNA from 1 species
UACGUAGGGUGCAAGCGUUGUCCGGAAUUAUUGGGCGUAAAGAGCUCGUAGGCGGCUUGUCGCGUCGGCUGUGAAAACCCGGGGCUCAACCCCGGGCCUGCAGUCGAUACGGGCAGGCUAGAGUCCGGCAGGGGAGACUGGAAUUCCUGGUGUAGCGGUGGAAUGCGCAGAUAUCGGGAAGAACACCCGUGGCGAAGGCGGUUCUCUGGGACGGUACUGACGCUGAGACGCGAAAGCGUGGGGAGCGAACAGG